GGCGCACGGGUGAGUAACGCGUAUGCAACCUACCUCUAAUUGGGGAAUAGCUCCCGGAAACGGGAAUUAAUGUCCCAUAAUGUUCUGGAAACGCAUGUCUUCAGAAUUAAAGCUCCGGCGAUUAGAGAUGGGCAUGCGUGCCAUUAGUUUGUUGGUGAGGUAACGGCUCACCAAGGCUGCGAUGGCUAGGGGGUCUGAGAGGAUGAUCCCCCACACUGGUACUGAGACACGGACCAGACUCCUACGGGAGGCAGCAGUGAGGAAUAUUGGGCAAUGGGCGCAAGCCUGACCCAGCCAUGCCGCGUGAAGGAUGAAGGCUCUAUGAGUUGUAAACUUCUUUUAUGCCGGAAGAAUACCAUACUCGUGAGUAUGGAUGACUGUACGGUAGGAAUAAGCAUCGGCUAACUCCGUGCCAGCAGCCGCGGUAAUACGGAGGAUGCAAGCGUUAUCCGGAUUUAUUGGGUUUAAAGGGUGCGUAGGCGGAAUCAUAAGUCAGUGGUGAAAUCCUGCGGCUUAACCGUAGAAUUGCCAUUGAUACUGUUAUUCUUGAGUGCA
rnacentral:rRNA from 1 species